rnacentral:lncRNA from 1 species
UUAGUACUGCAACUGACAUCGAAAAAGACGAUUAGUUAACGAGUUUUUAAUGGUCCGGAAUAACACACGGCUGCAAAUUGUUUUAAAUGAUAGAAUAAUAUCUAUAUUUUAAUUUCCGUCGGGUCGUAAAAGUUUCUAUGGUCACAUUUUUGUAUUUUAUCCCUUUAAUGGGGGUACCCCUCAAUUUACGGUUUUGGGUAGUUACCUUAAAAUCCAAAAAUGUAUUUUUUGGUUAAAUUUCUCGCUAUUUUCGUAAAUAUUUUCUAUGCACAUAUCAUCAAGGA